AUGCUUGUAAUCAACUUCCACAAGAUGGAAACUUUAAGUCCAGGUACCAUUAAUGCAGACAAGUUGUUAAGAGUUAAAUUUCAGGAUACGUCAGAUGGUGUCUCAUUUGACAUUGAUCUCAACUCUACCAUACAGAAGGAGUUUCUAGCACAGCAAUCAAGUCAAUCUGUUGGAGGGGUAAUGCAUUGUACUUGCGAGAAACCAUCGCAUGUAUAA